UAGAUACGAAGUUUAAAGGGCCGUUUA
rnacentral:piRNA from 1 species